rnacentral:tRNA from 1 species
CGGGAUGUAGCGCAGAUGGUAGAGCAACUGCCUUAUAUGCAGCAAGCCCCUGGUUCGAGUCCAGGUAUCCCGA